rnacentral:tRNA from 1 species
UAAAAGAUAAGCUAUAUAAGCUACCGGGUUCAUACCCCGUUUAUGAAUUUUUUCUCUUUUAA